UACGAAGGUUGCAAGCGUUACUCGGAAUUACUAGGCGUAAAGGGCAGGUAGGUGGUUUGGUAAGUCUAUUGUGAAAGCUCCCGGCUUAACUGGGAGAGGCCAAUGGAUACUGCCAAGCUUGAGUAUAGGAGAGGUUACUGGAAUUCCCGGUGUAGCGGUGAAAUGCGCAGAUAUCGGGAGGAACACCAAUGGCGAAAGCAGGUAACUGGACUAUUACUGACACUCAACUGCGAAAGCUAGGGGAGCAAACAGGG
rnacentral:rRNA from 1 species